ACAAGGAUUCCCCUAGUAGCGGCGAGCGAACAGGGAAGAGCCCAAACCGAAUGAUUUAUCAUUCGGGGUUGUAGGACUUCAAUAGAGCGUUGGAGAUGUAGCUGAAUGGCAUGGGAAGGCCAAUCGAAGAAGGUGAGAAUCCUGUAGGCGACGCAUUGAAGACAUCAGAAGGAUCCUGAGUACGGCGGAACACGUGAAAUUCCGUCGGAAUCCGGGAGGACCAUCUCCCAAGGCUAAAUACUCCCUAGUGACCGAUAGUGAACCAGUACCGUGAGGGAAAGGUGAAAAGAACCCCGGG
rnacentral:rRNA from 1 species